rnacentral:rRNA from 1 species
UACAGAGGUCUCAAGCGUUGUCCGGAUUUAUUGGGCGUAAAGAGCGUGUAGGCGGCCUGGUAAGUCCGCUGUGAAAGUCCAGGGCUCAACCCUGGAAUGCCGGUGGAAACUGUCGAGCUCGAGUCCGGAAGAGGCGAGUGGAAUUCCUGGUGUAGCGGUGAAAUGCGCAGAUAUCAGGAGGAACACCAAUGGCGAAGGCAGCUCGCUGGGACGGUACUGACGCUGAGACGCGAAAGCGUGGGGAGCAAACAGG